AUACUGCUGAAGAAUCCCAAACUAGGACGAAACGGCAGUCCAGUAC
rnacentral:hammerhead_ribozyme from 1 species